CACAGUGGUGUUUCAUACAAAAACCAGGCAGAUUCUCUUUAUCUUUAAGAUGCUGUCAGUGAACUUCAGUCUGUUUGUGACUUUGUUUCUGCUCACAGUAAGAGGUGUCAGCUGUGAAGAACUCACUCCAGAUAACGAUGAAGAGUCCAGUUUAGAAGGCAGCACUGUUACUCUGUCCUACAAAUACUCCAAACAAGCAACUGCUCUUGAUUAUUUCUUCUGGUAUCGACAAUAUCCAGGAAAACCACCAGAGUUCCUCAUCUCUCAUUCAGGAAAAGGAACAUUAUUAAAGAAUCUAAUCCCGAGACUGCAGAUUAAAGUGGAGCAAAACCAAAUCAAUCUGCAGAUCUCCUCUGCCGCAGUGACAGACUCUGCUCUGUACUACUGUGCUGUGAAGCCCACAGUGACAGGAAACAUCAAGACUCUGUACAAAAACCUUUGGAGCAAAGACAACAGAAUACUCCACAACGUCCACUAGAGGGAGUCACACACUGUUAACCUUC